UGACCUGAAGUGGUACGAGACACCCGCUGAAUUUAAGCAUAUUAUUAAGCGGAGGAAANNAACUACCAAGAAUUCCCUAGUAACGGCGAGUGACCCGGGNNAGCUCAAAGUUG
rnacentral:rRNA from 1 species